UACGUAGGGCGCAAGCGUUGUCCGGAAUUAUUGGGCGUAAAGAGCUCGUAGGCGGCCUGUCGCGUCUGCUGUGAAAUCCCGGGGCUUAACCCCGGGCGUGCAGUGGAUACGGGCUGGCUGGAGGCAGGCAGGGGAGAAUGGAAUUCCCGGUGUAGCGGUGAAAUGCGCAGAUAUCGGGAGGAACACCGGUGGCGAAGGCGGUUCUCUGGGCCUGACCUGACGCUGAGGAGCGAAAGCGUGGGGAGCGAACAGG
rnacentral:rRNA from 1 species